UCGGGGGUUCCUGCGUUGGAAAUUUCAGAUCGAUCUUGGGUGGGCUAUCAAUUGGCUAUCAUUGACCCCAACCAUUCAUGCUGGACCUCUAGGGUAAAUGCUUCCUUCUACUGUGACAUAUCCUCUUCCACCCCCUGUGGCUCCAUCUCCGUCUCCCGGGAGCUUCAACCCUCCCAGCCCUCAGUAGCUAUAAUCUCUACUGACAUAAAGCAUUCCGAACAGCAGUUGUUAGGCUCCAUACCGGGAGUUCACCACAAUAUUCAUGGCUACGACUACUUGCCGAAACCGUAACCUUCUUAAAUCAAACCCUCCCCGCCAUUGCACCAACUCAUUGCUACUUAUGCGCCUCUCUGACUCGACCUUUGCUUGCAGUGGUUCCCUUAAACUUCUCGGCUUCUGACCUCUCAAAUUUCUCCACUCCAUCUGCCCACCAUUCUCUCCGGACCCUUUCACCUGAUGCUCCAUUAUGGGAGCCCGAGGAGUCUAACCAUACUGUGAUUCCCUGGCUCUGCCUCCUGGGCUUGGGUGUCUCCCAGUCAGAGUUUUGCACUCCAACAUCACCUUUAACUUCACCCUCUAUGCACCACUUGGCUCAUUCUUCUGGUGUAAUGGUUUUCUCACCACUAUCUUAUCCACCAACACCUCCGCCCCAUGUAUACUGGUAACGCUUGUCCCGCAAUUGACUCUCUAUGCACCUGAUGAAGUACAGGCCCUCUUGUCUCCCCCUGUGCAAAGUAGGUGGGCUGCUUUCCUUCCAGUAAUGGUGGGUCUCUCACUGGCUGCAUCUGCGGCGGGAGCAGGAAUUUCUGGUGGAGCUCUAGGACACUCCUUAUGGGCUGUACAGGACUUAAAAUUCUAAACUUGAACAAGCGCUCACUUCUACGGCAGAAUCUCUAGCAUCUUUACAAAGGCAGGUCACAUCCUUGGCUCAAGUUACUCUUCAAAACUGACAAGCUAUAGACUUAUUCACGGCCAAAAAAGGUGGAACCUGCCUCUUCUUGAGGGAAGAAUGCUGUUACUACAUCAAUGAAUCAGGCCUUGUGGAAACUAAUGUAGUCAAGCUUACCAACUUGGCUACCUCUUUGAAAAAUCCACCAAACCAAAACCCAUUUGCCACCUUCCAUUUAGCCAACUUCCAAUCAUGGCUGUUGCCUCUUUUAGGGCCCAUAUGUCUCCUUUUUCUGAUGUGUCUGUUCCUGCCCUGUCUGCUUCGCUUUCUACAGGGCCAAUUACAGAAUAUCUCUAAGCAAACUUUCAACCAGCUUCUGCUUAGGCACUAUCAGCCUCUGAUGACUGAUGAACCCCCGACAUCUUCAAGAAAACAGCUCACUCAGUGCUGAAGCUCACUACCAGGCACGAUGGAAUGCAACGGACAUCGGACAGCGGAAGACAACGAGCUGGGAGAACCUCUUAAUCUGCCACCCUGGAUUCUUGAGUCUUUAUGUCCUUUUAAGCCUCCUCAUGGCACUUGGCCUCUUCUCUGUCAGUCUCCCAACAUGGAACUUCUGCCAAAAACUGAUCUUUGCUUUAAUCUUUAUCUUCAUCCUGUUUUUGUUCGCUCUGAUCUUCUUCAGGUGCUGGUGACACUAUGUCAAGGCAACGCUUCCAAUAUUUCCUGGAGUCUCUGUUACAGGACCAAUGGCUGAUACCAACAAUCUCCUCCAUCCAGGACUGGUUCAAUGCCAUCGACGACUUGUGGCUUCAGGGAAUUUUCAUAGACUUCACCCCUACCAAAGUAGCUGUCUAUAGCCACUGGGCUUUAUUUCUGGUUGCCAUGAUAUCCCCCGACCUGCUCCCCGAACAUUCCUCCACUUCCCCUUCUAGGCCCUACGCCACCCCCACACAGCAGGAAGCAGCUGGAUCUGAACAAUGAUGCCCCAGUCCCUAAGAAAACAAAAAGGGAGGAAUGUUGGGAAAAGGUAUAAUGGCAGCCACAUCCCCAAAACCCCAACAUGGCGUCUGAGGAGCUUCUCUUCCUGCCUCUCCCUUUCCCGCCGGCGCCAAUUCUCCCACCAGUGCCAAUAUUUAAAUCCCGCUGACGGGAACCUUAGCCCCAAUAAGAACUAACUUCUUGGGCUCCGGAACUGACAUCUGGAAGAACUUACCAAUAAACAGGUGGCCCGUCAUUUACCUAAGCCCUGCCACCUCUCCUUAGAUCUAUAUAAGCCCACAGCCUUUGUAAUAAAGUGGAACCUCUCCGGUGAUUUGCGUCCUGUGGUG
rnacentral:lncRNA from 1 species